rnacentral:lncRNA from 1 species
AUGGUCGAAGAUUCCCAGGCAGGGCCCCACCUUUGGGUGUGGUCAAUUUCCCCAAUGUGGCAGGUCUCCAGGCGGAAGGGUGCUGGCUGGUUGUCUUCCGAGGCGCCAGGAGACCAGAGCUUUCAGGAGCUUGGCCUGGCCACACCCUCCUGGGCCCGCUGCGGGAGUUCCUGGUGGGCAGGGGCCUCAUAUGUCUUGUUCCCUCCCCCCAUAUUCCUGUCCUGUUGUGCAGUCAGCCUGGCACAACCCGGGUGCCCAGGAGAGGUGCCAAGUGAGGGCAUAACUGCAGGUCCAGAGUUUAAGGAGGACCAGGGCACAAAGCACUGUGGUUGCUUUGAGGAGACUUGCCUGUGGUUCUGGGAAUGGGAUCUAGAAAUAACCCAACCAACAGGGGGAAGUCAUAUUAGGAUUGGGGGAGUCAGGGCUGGAGACGGACCAGGGCACAGCCCUGCCGGAGCCCGGGGCUCUGACCUUGGGGUGUCUGCAGCUGCCCCCCACCCCGGCCCCGCCAUCUGUCCAGACCCCCAGGGUCUGAGCAUGGAGAAGAGGCAUCGCCUGGGGGGAGCAGGGCUCUUCCGAGCUGCUGGCAGCGGCAGCACAGCCCCCACCCCUGUUACCGCGCACCGGCAUCCACCUGGAGCCGGUCCCAGCAGCUCUGCUGAAACCUGGGUUCAGCAUACGGCGAUCUCAAAACUUAAUUAUGGAAAGAAGUUGGGAUUAAGGACCCCUCCAUUUAUCUUCCUGCCUGCUGUGGCUUGUCAACAGCUCGGAUCCGGAACGUCCUGCUCACGGUUCCGGAGGCUGAGCGGGCGGGAGGCGGCAGACGCUGGCGUUGGCAGGUCAGAGGCACAGGCUGCCCUGAGCCAAAAUGAGCAUCCUGAUUCAGGCCUAGUCCCUCCCCUCCACAGGAAGGGGAUGGAAGCCACAGCCGCCCACCAGGCCAGCCUGCCUCAUGCUGGGAAGCCUGUGUUCCCGCCUUCUGCUCUGCGGCCCCAUGCUUUCGAGCCAGGACUGAGACCGCCGGACGCUGGAGAACGUGGUGUAACCUCCAGAAUUCAACACCCUCAUGGCGUUUUGGAGCUCCCGCUGCGGGCUGCAGCCUCCGCCCACGCCGCACAACCCUGCCAGGUAGAGGGCAGUAGGGCAUUCCUCCACGUUACCUACCCCAGCCCUGUCUCUGAAAGGGCAACCUGCAGAAUGUGA